GGAACUGAACCUUCAAUGGAGCUUAAGGACAUUUUCUUUGGCAUUGAGUUGCGUGACUUUAUUAUAGAAGAAUGGAAUUGCACAGCAGAUACGUAGUAGUGAUAGCUAGUAAUAAAGGAAGGCGUAUCGUUCUUGGAUAGGAGGCCCGUUUUUGGUGAUUGGGGUGCUGCCGAUGUAUUGCUCUAUGUGCGUUUCUUUGAGGAAAUUGGACAAUCAAUUACACAGAGUUGUCGAUAACGUUCGAUGUUGAAGAGGGGAUUUCAGGGAAUCUGCCGUUUUCUC
rnacentral:lncRNA from 1 species